GGAUGUGAGGGCGAUCUGGCUGCAACAUCUGUCACCCCAUUGAUCGCCAGGGUUGAUUCGGCUGAUCUGGCUGGCUAGGCGGGUGUCCCCUUCCUCCCUCACCGCUUCAUGUGCGUCCCUCCCGAAGCUGCGAGCUUGGUCAAAGAGGACGACCAUCCAUAAUAGAGGAGGACCGUUCUUCAGUCAAGGGUAUACGGGUAGCUGAGCUCCCCUGCUAGAACCUCCAAUCAAGCUCUCAGCACUCAGGAGGCAGAGGCAACAGGAUAUGGAAGUUGAAGGCCAGCCUGAACUAUAGCAAGACCUU
rnacentral:snRNA from 1 species